CUUUUAUCAUUGUUGGCCGCUCGGGCAAACUUUUAACAGCCACUAGCCAGAAAUUAAUUCAUUACAUAGCCAGCUGAUGAAACGAGAAGCCCUGUCAACCUCAUUCCAAUCCCGAGGCCAGAUUUCAUAUGAAAAUAGAUCAAUUCAUGGUUAUAAAUGAAUUGAUCCAUACAAUUAUAGCGGAUGACAUUCAAGUCGGAGGUCUUCUGCAGAUCCAUUCCAUCACCAUAGUUUCAUGAAAAGUCCAGGAACAAAUCAGCAUUUGAAGGCUAAAGAAUUGGAGGAAGAGGGGUCGGCUGUGUGUUUUCACUCAUCACUAUAUCUC
rnacentral:lncRNA from 1 species